rnacentral:rRNA from 1 species
UGGGGAAUUUUGGACAAUGGGCGAAAGCCUGAUCCAGCAAUGCCGCGUGUGUGAAGAAGGCCUUCGGGUUGUAAAGCACUUUUGUCCGGAAAGAAAUCCUUGGCUCUAAUACAGUCGGGGGAUGACGGUACCGGAAGAAUAAGCACCGGCUAACUACGUGCCAGCAGCCGCGGUAAUACGUAGGGUGCAAGCGUUAAUCGGAAUUACUGGGCGUAAAGCGUGCGCAGGCGGUUUGCUAAGACCGAUGUGAAAUCCCCGGGCUCAACCUGGGAACUGCAUUGGUGGCUGGCAGGCUAGAGUAUGGCAGAGGGGGGUAGAAUUCCACGUGUAGCAGUGAAAUGCGUAGAGAUGUGGAGGAAUACCGAUGGCGAAGGCAGCCCCCUGGGCCAAUACUGACGCUCAUGCACGAAAAGCGUGGGGAGCAAAACAGGAUUAGAUACCCUGGUAGUCCACGCCCUAAACGAUGUCAACUAGUUGUUGGGGAUUCAUUUCCUUAGUAACGUAGCUAACGCGUGAAGUUGACCGCCUGGGGAGUAACGGUCGCAAGAUUAAAAACUUAAAAUGAAUUGACGGGGUC